CCCCAUUGCUCACCUUAAAUUGGUGAGAACCAAUCUGAACAACGGCGAAAACAGGCUCGUAUGGUUUAAAGACCAGGUCGGACUUCUGGAGUGGUCCAACUACUUUGUAGCCAAUAGCGGCAGGCUCCCCUUUCCUNUCUUCCUUCUCCUCCGCCGUGUACUCUCUCUUCAAAUCAGAACCCUUUACCUCCUCUCCAUCGCUAUCCUCUCCCGCCGUCUCUUCAUCUUCGUCAUCAUUUUCGCUUUCAUCGCGAGAAUCCGACGAGAAAUAGCGACGAUGGUGGUAAGGCCAGAAGGAACACCAUAUGGAGUCAGCUUUGGUGAAAACGUGAGAGGAUUUGCAGAUGAGGAGGGCUUUGACAGAAUUAAGGUUCGGGAAAGAAGCUGCAACUUUGCAAGGGUGAUACAGUGUGGUAGGGUUUGAAGAGAGGAGAGCUAUGGCUUGACGGGGUAGGGUGUGGAGACACCGUCUCUGCGCCAUGGCUGCUGGUGAUGCAGGUUGACGAACGCGUGACUAACCGAGCUCAGCUAGUGCAGGGCAUUACAUUAGGGUUUAGCACUCGUGGAACAGGUUUUUGAGCGCUUUUCUAUUUUUUUAUUUUUUUGCAAAAGCCUUGCUUAAGCUCUUCAAACC
rnacentral:misc_RNA from 1 species